rnacentral:rRNA from 1 species
GCGUUAUCCGGAUUCACUGGGUUUAAAGGGUGCGUCGGUGGGUUUGUAAGUCAGUGGUGAAAUCUCCAAGCUUAACUUGGAAACUGCCGUUGAUACUAUAAAUCUUGAAUGUUGUGGAGGUGAGCGGAAUAUGUCAUGUAGCGGUGAAAUGCUUAGAUAUGACAUAGAACACCAAUUGCGAAGGCAGCUCACUACACAAAGAUUGACACUGAGGCACGAAAGCGUGGGGAUCAAACAGG